ACCACAAUUCCACAUGACCAAGCUGAAAUCAGAGUCAGUAUCUCAAAGCCACUUGCAAUACAAGGUUAUCACAGGUCCUGGCAGUUACUGUUUGAACAAGAAUCAUAGAAUAUCCUGAGUUGGAAGGGACCCAUAAGGAUCACUGAGUCCAACUCCCAGCUCCACGUAGGACCACCCAAUGGUCUGAAAAUGAAAUGAAAAAAAAAAACUAUGUCUGAAAGCAUUGACCAAAACGCUCCUUGAUCUCCAGCAUGUGGAAGUGCCCACGUGAAAGAGCUACUUUGGAGUUUCACUACCAAGGCAUUCCAGAAACAGAAGAAUUCUGCUUGAAAUGCCCCAUUCAGAUUUCGCUCAUUGAAACAAAGCGGUGUUUGCUGCUUAAAAUGAAGUUCCUAUCCCAAAACUGUGAGUGGUGAAAUGCAUCCUUCCAAGGCUCUCAAGGUCAAAGCCAUUUCCAGUCACUGUUAUACAUAAAUGAUUUUUUAGAAGUUUAUAGUAAAAAAUCCAGUUUUAUAACAAUUAGAUUACUACUAGAGGCAUAUAUUUCAGGGAGUCAAGUUCAGCAGAAGUCUCUGAGUAGACACAUUAAAGAACACUUGAUAUCAGCAAGAAAACCAAUAAAAAGCCCAUUUUUACUUAAAUAUAUAUAUAUAUGUAGCAAAAAUUAUGUGAAAUAAAGUUGCUUCAUAAACAGUUUCCUGACCACAGAAAGCUAAUCUGAUGGGAACUCUUCCAAGUAGCUCCCUGAAUUCUCAGUUCUUCCCUUUAAAAUUUAACUCACUGUUAAAACAACUCAUGUAAUACUUAAGGUAAACCUUACACACAUUCCCUUCUUGAAACUGCAUAUCGCCUUUAUUAGCCUCUUUGGUGCAUAAAUCACACGGUAGCAGCCCCAGUAGCACUGAACUCACUGAUGUGUGCCAGGCUGGUUAUACUCCAGACCACGCCACAACUAUUUCAUGAAAUGCUUUGAUUUAUUUAAUAUGGUACCACUGGACCCAAUACAAUUACUAAGCAAACUGGCAUUUGCCACCGAAGAAUUGCAUUGCUGCUUGGACUGCACUGCAACAGCAAUUUGGAGGAAAAAGUAUAUAUGAUUUGGUUGUAACUUUUCAUAAGAGUUGUUAACUAUGGAAUAUCUUAGCUUGUCAUAGCUCUACUCUGCUAAUGACAUAUCCAUGGAAUGACUGCCAUUAUUUUCUACCUCAAAUAAAGCUACGGCAGCACAGGACAGAACUAGCUGGUGCGCCUGCAAGGAGAAUUGCACUUCUUCCUCUAAAACUCUGACAGCUGUUUGAAAGAUAACUCUAGAUUUCUACAGGACUAAAUUCAAAAAUUCAGUUAGUAUCUGUCAGAUCUGUGACUCCAGUAAUUAUGUUUAACAAACAUGAAAAUUUUCUAAUGCUUGAAAUAAACGAACUGUUAGGAAUUUUUCUAGGGAGAAAUGAAGAUACCCUUAAAACCACUUAGUCUUUCUUGUUGGCCUUACGUAAGCCAAUUUAUUUUCAUAAGCCUCAUAAAAAUUUCAGAAUCCCCAGCAAGCUGCCAUUUUUUAGAAUUAUCUCUCAGCUGCUAUCUAAGAAGUAAAGCCAUCUUUAGGGCUGAGGUACUACUUUACAAGGGAUACCAGAGAAACCUUUCAAAGUAGGUAAUACUCGUAUUUCAUCUUCUUGAAAUCAGAGAUUAGGUUUCAGAUCUUUCCACAUUCGGAAAUUCGUCAGCUGGAUGCUGCCUCUUCUCCUGGAUUUAAGGAAGAUUUAUAAUGUGCUGCAGAGUGCAGCCACCAUGUGAGUUAAAGGCAAUGCAUACAUUAAAACCAAUCCCAGGGCAAAAAAGAAAAGAGAAAGAAGCGCUGGGAGACCGGCCACUGAGAAGCAAAAAUACCUUUCAAAGGUCACCCGCAGGUAACAGAAAAAGAGCAGUCCGUGGCAUAGUCUUUUCCUGCUGUGGCCAGUCAGCCAUGCUGUAGGCAUGUAGAAACCCAUGAUCGUCCUCCUCCUUAACGGGCCAUCACCAGACAGACUGAAACUGCCCUUUUCCCUGGAGCCUCCGUAGGACUGCCUUGAGCCAAAGCUGACCCUGAUUUGCCUCCAUUUGCUCCCUUAGUUCAGAAACCGAGACUUGAAAGCUGUCCUGUGGAGGAU
ensembl:lncRNA